GGCGGGAGUGCGUUGGUAACAAUAAAGGAGCAUUCUUUUAUGUGUGUAGUUUUUUAUUCGUGGUAUGUGAUGUCUAUGAUUUUGGUUAGAUAGUUCUUAUAUUUAUCUUGUGGUUGUAGUAUUAUCUUGUUGCUAGCGGUGUUAGUUUAUUUUGCAUUUAUCUUUUGUGUUUGUUAUACUGUUAUAGAUUGUAAGCCGAGGGUCUAUCGGAAACUGCCUCUCUACUUCACCUGAGGUAGUGGUAUGAUCUGCAUACACUCUACCCUUCUUAGACCCC
rnacentral:lncRNA from 1 species